AUACAGUUGAUAUACUGUUCAAUUUCUCUCUCUCUCUCUCUCUCUCUCUCUCUCUCUCUCACACACACACACACACAGAGAGAGAGAGAGAGAGAGAGAGAGAGAUGUAAUCUCUCUAUUGG
rnacentral:miRNA from 1 species